CCUACGGGAGGCAGCAGUGGGGAAUAUUGCGCAAUGGGCGAAAGCCUGACGCAGCGACUCCGCGUGAGGGAUGAAGGUCUUCGGAUCGUAAACCUCUGUCAGCAGGGAAGAACGGUCACUGUGCUAAUCAGCAGUGAAUUGACGGUACCUGCAAAGGAAGCACCGGCUAACUCCGUGCCAGCAGCCGCGGUAAUACGGAGGGUGCGAGCGUUAAUCGGAAUUACUGGGCGUAAGCCGCUCGUAGGCGGUAUGUCAAGUCAAGGGUGAAAUCUCCGCGCUCAACGUGGGAACUGCCUUUGAAAUGGGCAAACUGGAGUGUGUGAGAGGAUAGUGGAAUUCCAGGUGUAGGAGUGAAAUCCGUAGAUAUCUGGAGGAACAUCAGUGGCGAAGGCGACUAUCUGGCACAUAACUGACGCUGAGGAGCGAAAGCGUGGGUAGCAAACAGGAUUAGAUACCCGGGUAGUC
rnacentral:rRNA from 1 species